rnacentral:rRNA from 1 species
AUUGAACGCUGGCGGCAUGCCUUACACAUGCAAGUCGAACGGCAGCACGGGUGCUUGCCCCUGGUGGCGAGUGGCGAACGGGUGAGUAAUACAUCGGAACAUGUCCUGUAGUGGGGGAUAGCCCGGCGAAAGCCGGAUUAAUACCGCAUACGAUCUACGGAUGAAAGCGGGGGACCUUCUGGCCUCGCGCUAUAGGGUUGGCCGAUGGCUGAUUAGCUCGUUGGUGGGGUAAAGGCCUACCAAGGCGACGAUCAGUAGCUGGUCUGAGAGGACGACCAGCCACACUGGGACUGAGACACGGCCCAGACUCCUACGGGAGGCAGCAGUGGGGAAUUUUGGACAAUGGGCGAAAGCCUGAUCCGGCAAUGCCGCGUGGGUGAAGAAGGCCUUCGGGUGGUAAAGCACUUUUGUCCGGAAAGAAAUCCUUGGCACUAAGACGGUCGGGGGAUGACGGUACCGGAAGAAGAAGCACCGGCUAACUACGU